rnacentral:rRNA from 1 species
UACGGAGGGUGCAAGCGUUAUCCGGAUUCACUGGGUUUAAAGGGUGCGUAGGUGGGCAGGUAAGUCAGUGGUGAAAUCUCCGGGCUUAACCCGGAAACUGCCAUUGAUAUUAUUUGUCUUGAAUACUGUGGAGGUCGGCGGAAUAUGUCAUGUAGCGGUGAAAUGCUUAGAUAUGACAUAGAACACCAAUUGCGAAGGCAGCUGGCUACACAAUUAUUGACACUGAGGCACGAAAGCGUGGGGAUCAAACAGG